AUGGUUGAAAGACGAUCUCGCGAUCGUCCAGUGGUUCUACACCCGCAUCACCACCGAGAUCUUCAACAUGCUCGAUCACGACGGCGCCACCGCUGCCAACAUCUGGCACUCCUCCGUCAGCUCUUCCAAAGCAACACCGACGCUCAGAAAAACGCUCUCCACACCGAGCUUCGCAAUAUGGUGCAAGGAGACGCCCCGGUGAACCUGUUUUGCCAGCGCGUUAAGACCAUUGGUGAUGAGCUCCGCGAACUCGGCGAUACAGUUAGCGACUCACAGCUAAUCAAUAUCGUCGUCGGCCUCAGCGAAGACUUUGACAAGCAAGCCUCGUUCAUACCGAUGAUACGGCCCCCUCCUACCUUCGCUGAAGUUCGUUCCUUGCUACAACUCGCGGCGGAAACACAAGCUCGCAAGGACUCUCGCCCCAAGGUCUUUCAUGCUGCGGCUCAUCCUCCUCUGUCGUCUACACCAGCGCCGCCUUCCAGGCCGGCUCCUGCCGCCGGGCCGUUCGCAUCGUCAUCUGUUCAACCGCCCCCGGCUGGCGUCCUAGUCCAAACUACCGCGGCAAAAACCCUAUCUACAGGCCGCCGGCGACUCGUUCGGUUCCGCCUACGACAUCACCAGCACCGAGUCCUGCACCACCCACUAUUGCUCCAUCUGCGGUUGCAUGGCGGCCUCCUCAUGAUCUUUGGACGGGGCUUGUUCAAGCAUGGCCCAUGCCCUGGUCCGCUCCGUCCACCCUCGGUGCUCCGCCGGCAUACUCAGGUGCCUGGCAACCCGGCCUUCGGCCGCCUACUGGUGCUCCCGGGGUUCUCAACCCCCAACAGCCGGCCAAUGCCUAUCACGCCGCCCCGACGUAUGUUCCUUAUAGUCAUUACAGCACCGACGGCGGCGCCUACUACACACCUCAGCCGGCCCUGCUCCCGACGCCACCCCCACCACAGUCGGCCAAUGCCUACUACACUCCCCAGCCGGCCCUACUGCCUUCACCAUCGUAUCCGCCGGCACUGCUUCCGACGCCACCCUCACCUGCGACGCCGAGCUGGGAUCAAGCUGCCUUUCUCCAGGCCAUGA
rnacentral:rRNA from 1 species